rnacentral:lncRNA from 1 species
GCUUGGAGUUGUCUGACUACAAGUUCAGAGUCCUGAGACUGACUUAUUCCCCAAAUGCUGUGGUGCCAACAUCAAAUAAGGCUACUCUCUGGAUUCACUUAGGAACAACUUGAUGAGCUUCACAAACUCAGCGGCUUGAAAUUCCUGAGAGAGUUUAGUUGACAUUUAACCAGGCAUUUGGGCAUUUAAAAAGAAAUUCUAGAAAGCGCUCCGUUUUUUUUGUAGGUGAAAAAAGAAGGCGCUGGCUUGUUUCCCUUGUCCCGUCUCCUACUCUUGAUCAUGUCUUGCACUGGCUGCUAGUGUUUUAAACUUAAAGUAAGUAAAAAAAGAAAAAAAAAAAAAGAAGACAAAAUACAUCUGUGCUGAAGGAUGUUGGCUUCUGGAGUAUCUGUAUAUCUCGAGUCAUAAGUCAUACCAGUUCUCACACACAUGAGCUAGGUUAAAAGAUCCUAGAAUUGGAAGCUAUCCUAAAGAUUAUCUGCCGGAAGCGUCUCAAUGCAGAAGGAAGAGUGUGGCGCCCCGGUGGGUUGAGGGCUUGUUAGCUGAGCACUCAGCUACUUUGAUUGCAAACCAUGACUUGAACUCAGCACCACUGUCCUUUAUUUGUUGUGUGCCGCCAUUGCGUGGCUUAACCUGAGUUGAGCAUUUUCCCUGAAGAAACAGAAGGGAGUACUUCCACAAUCUUUCAGUAUGCUUCGGGUGAAUAGUGAAUUCACUGGACUCAGAACCCUAUUGUGCUUCUGUAAAUCACGGGCCAGGAAGGAUUUCCUAGCAGAGGCUGAGGGCCAGGACCAAAGACAGAUGUUUGAGAGGGAGAGAAAACGUUUUUAAUUUAUUUUUUAAAAAAAUUAUUCUUAAGGGGAAGAGAGAGGCAGGAGAGGGGAGGGGAACGGAAGGGGAGCAAAAGAGAAGAGGCCUGUGCCAGCCAGAGGCAUCAGAUCCCUAGUUUUAGAAUUACAGCUGGUUGUGAGCUUUGACCUGGGUGCUGGGAACUGAACUUGGGUCUUCUGCAAGAGCAUACAGGCUCUGAACCGGAGCCAUCUCGUCAGACUGAAAAUACAUUUUAAGUAGGGCUAUGGUUAUAUUCUCAUGAGUUUGUUUAUGUAUGUAUUCGUUUGUUUAUUCUGAGUAUUUCAUUUAGACCCACAUGGCCCCUCAAGCUGACAAUAUAUAUGGGAAUGGCUUUGAACUACCUUGGUGCUGGGGUCACAGGUGAGAAGCGCCAUGCCAGGUGCCUGAGGUGCUGGGACUGAACCCAGGCCUCUAGGUUUGCUGGGCAAGCACUCUACCAACUAACUGAGCUCUGUCUUCAGCCCAGUUUCCUUAUUUUUAAACAUCAUCAUCUGUGUGAAUAAGUUUGAGCAAAUAUACAUUUUAAGAAUUACUCAGCUGGGUAUGGUGACACAUGCCUUUAAUCCUAGCUUUUGCAAAGCAGAGACAGAUGGAUCUCUUGAGUUUGAGGCCAGCCUGGUCUCCAGAACGAGUUCCAGGACAGCCAGGGCUACACAGAAAAACCCUGUCUUGGGGAAAAGAAAACAAAACCAAAGAAUCGAAUAUCCCUCCCCAUGCCCUACUUCAAACCGUACAUGUGAAGGUUAGAAAUAAAUGGCAGGAAACAGCUAAUUGUUCUUCAGCAACAGCUCAGGGACAAUCGUGUGAAGCAGCGUGCUGAUGGGCUCACUCUUCAGUUUCCUAUCAGCUCAUAAACAUGGCCUGGCUGUUUCCUUCAUGGGUAAAUUUAACCUCGCACUCAGCCUCCGCGUCUCCACUGCUGUCCUGUGUGCAGAGCAAUGAUCAGGCCAAAGGUUCUUGACACCUUGUGACUUACAGGACAUCUUUCAGCAGACAGACGUGUACAUUAGCAACCCAUUUCCCAGUGUUAUUUCUGGACCAGGUACAGGAACUGAUGGUGCCACGGUGUACACCGCUAUUGACUCUGGCUUCUGAGCAAUUUAAGUGCGAGUAGAUAUUUAUGUCCAGGGUGUCUGACAGAAGGAAACAGCUUUACAAGACAAGGUUGAAAGCGGGCAUGCCAUUGUGAGCUGAGAAUAAAUGGACACAAAUGUAGUGUCUUUGCUAUCUGAAUAUUUAAUAUUAAAGAUAAACACCAACUACCACCCAGCAAGCAUGUCAUUGUGAGCUAGGAAUAGACAUCAAAGUAGUAGUGUCUUUGCUCUUUGUGUAGCUAACAGUAAAGAUAAAAGUCAGGAGCUGGAGAGAUGGCUCAGUGGUUAAGGGCACUGGCUGCUCUUCUAAAGAACCCUGGUUCGAAUCCCAGCCCCCAACUGGCAGUAACUCCAGUUGUAGGGGAUCCAACACCCUCUUCUGAUCUCUGCUGGCAUCAAGCAUGCAUGUGGUACAUAGACAUACAUGCAGUAUAAACAUGUAAAACCAAAAAUUUUUAGAAGUUAGAUGCCACUCAUAUUCAAGCAAAAUAGAAUUAUAUAUCUGAGUUAUAUAUGUAUAUUAUAUAUACACACGCAUACACACACACACGGUUCUCUGUUACUCCCACUUGUCAGCCUAGUAUAAUGAUAUUAAGUUUUAUCUAUUAAUCCAUUUUAUUAUGUGGGCUGUGUAGUACAUAUAGUAAUAUGUAUAUAAUACACACAUGUAUUGGGUGUGUUGAGGAGAAAGAAAGCCAUAAACCAGCUUCAGCUCCUAUCAACUCACAACCAGCUUUAUCUAUGUCCCUAUCCACUGAGCACAUUAAGCCAAGCUCUAUCCAUUAAGCAUUUUCAUCUUUGUAUUUAUCUAUAAAAGCUAAGGUUUCAAACAAGACAUUAUGUUACACC